GAUUGACCUCGGAUCAGGUAGGAUACCGCUGAACUUAAGCAUAUCAAUAAGCGGAGGAAAAGAAACCAACAGGGAUUGCCUCAGUAACGGCGAGUGAAGCGGCAACAGCUCAAAUUUGAAAUCUGGCUCUCGCGGGCCCGAGUUGUAAUUUGCAGAGGAUGUUUCGGGCGAGGUACCGUUCUAAGUCCUUUGGAACAGGGCGUCAUAGAGGGUGAGAAUCCCGUACGUGACCGGUGUCCGACCCCAUGUGAAACUCCUUCGACGAGUCAGUUGUUUGGGAAUGCAGCUCAAAAUGGGUGGUAAAUUUCAUCUAAAGCUAAAUACUGGCCAGAGACCGAUAGCGCACAAGUAGAGUGAUCGAAAGAUGAAAAGCACUUUGGAAAGAGAGUUAAAAAGUACGUGAAAUUGUUGAAAGGGAAGCGCUUGCAGCCAGAUCGCCCGGGGGUGAUCAGCCGUCCUUUUGGGCGGUGCACUCUCCCCCGGUCGGGCCACCAUCGGUUUGGGCGGCUGGAUAAAGACCUCGGGAACGUAGCUCCUCUCGGGGAGUGUUAUAGCCCGGGGUGCAAUCAGUCAGCCUGGACCGAGGACG
rnacentral:rRNA from 1 species